rnacentral:rRNA from 1 species
GACGAACGCUGGCGGCGUGCCUAAUACAUGCAAGUAGAACGCACAGUUUAUACCGUAGCUUGCUACACCAUAGACUGUGAGUUGCGAACGGGUGAGUGACGCGUAGGUAACCUGCCUGGUAGCGGGGGAUAACUAUUGGAAACGAUAGCUAAUACCGCAUAAUAUUAAUUAUUGCAUGAUAAUUAAUUGAAAGGUGCAAUUGCACCACUACCAGAUGGACCUGCGUUGUAUUAGCUAGUAGGUGAGGUAACGGCUCACCUAGGCGACGAUACAUAGCCGACCUGAGAGGGUGAUCGGCCACACUGGGACUGAGACACGGCCCAGACUCCUACGGGAGGCAGCAGUAGGGAAUCUUCGGCAAUGGACGAAAGUCUGACCGAGCAACGCCGCGUGAGUGAAGAAGGUUUUCGGAUCGUAAAGCUCUGUUGUAAGAGAAGAACGGGUGUGAGAGUGGAAAGUUCACACUGUGACGGUAUCUUACCAGAAAGGGACGGCUAACUACGUG